rnacentral:rRNA from 1 species
AUUGAACGCUGGCGGCAGGCCUAACACAUGCAAGUCGAGCGGAGCGGCGGACGGGAGUGUAAUGCCUAGGAAUCUGCCUGGUAGUGGGGGAUAACGUCCGGAACCGGGCGUUAAUACCGCAUUCUAUCAGAAGAGCCUAGGUCGGAUUAGCUAGUUGGUGGGGUAAAGGCCGACCAAGGGGACGAUCCGUAACUGGUCUGAGAGGAGGAUCCGGCACACUGGAACUGAGACCCGGUCCAGACUCCUACGGGAGGCAGCAGUGGGGAAUAGUGGACAAUGGGCGAAAGCCUGAUCCAGCCAUGCCGCGUGUGUGAAGAAGGUCUUCGGAUUGUAAAGCACUUUAAGUUGGGAGGCGUUACCAACAGAAUAAGCACCGGCUAACUUCGUGCCAGCAGCCGCGGUAAUUC